GAUGCUCUAACCUUUGAGCUAAGUGGGC
rnacentral:tRNA from 1 species